ACAUGCAAGUCGAGCGGAAACGAGUUAUCUGAACCUUCGGGGAACGAUAACGGCGUCGAGCGGCGGACGGGUGAGUAAUGCCUAGGAAAUUGCCCUGAUGUGGGGGAUAACCAUUGGAAACGAUGGCUAAUACCGCAUGAUGCCUACGGGCCAAAGAGGGGGACCUUCGGGCCUCUCGCGUCAGGAUAUGCCUAGGUGGGAUUAGCUAGUUGGUGAGGUAAGGGCUCACCAAGGCGACGAUCCCUAGCUGGUCUGAGAGGAUGAUCAGCCACACUGGAACUGAGACACGGUCCAGACUCCUACGGGAGGCAGCAGUGGGGAAUAUUGCACAAUGGGCGCAAGCCUGAUGCAGCCAUGCCGCGUGUAUGAAGAAGGCCUUCGGGUUGUAAAGUACUUUCAGUCGUGAGGAAGGCGGCGUCGUUAAUAGCGGCGUUGUUUGACGUUAGCGACAGAAGAAGCACCGG
rnacentral:rRNA from 1 species